UGAGUGACAUUACCCAGCACCCAGCCUGUGU
rnacentral:piRNA from 1 species